AACGCUGGCGGCGUGCCUAACACAUGCAAGUCGAACGAGAAGUACGUAGCAAUACGUAUUGUAAAGUGGCGCACGGGUGAGUAACACGUGGGUAAUCUGCCCUUGAGUUUGGGAUAACCCCGCGAAAGCGGGGCUAAUACCGAAUAAGACCACGGGGACCAAAGUCCCUGAGGUAAAAGAUGGCCUCUAUUUAUAAGCUAUCACUUGAGGAUGAGCCCGCGGCCCAUUAGCUAGUUGGCAGGGUAACGGCCUACCAAGGCAAUGAUGGGUAGCUGGUCUGAGAGGACGAUCAGCCACACUGGAACUGAGACACGGUCCAGACUCCUACGGGAGGCAGCAGUGGGGAAUAUUGCGCAAUGGGCGAAAGCCUGACGCAGCAACGCCGCGUGGGGGAUGAAGGUUCUCGGAUUGUAAACCCCUUUCGAUCGGAACGAAUCCCCUCCUGGUAAAUAAUCAGGAGGAUCGACGGUACCGAGAGAAGAAGCCACGGCUAACUCUGUGCCAGCAGCCGCGGUAAGACAGAGGUGGCGAGCGUUGUUCGGAUUUAUUGGGCGUAAAGCGAACGCAGGUGGUUUGGUAAGUCAGGGGUGAAAGACCACAGCUUAACUGUGGCAUUGCCUUUGAUACUGCCUUUCUUGAGUAGAGUAGGGGGAAGCGGAAUUCCGAGUGUAGAGGUGAAAUUCGUAGAUAUUCGGAGGAACACCGGUGGCGAAGGCGGCUUCCUGGACUCUAACUGACACUCAUGUUCGAAAGCGUGGGGAGCAAACAGGAUUAGAUACCCUGGUAGUCCACGCCCUAAACGAUGGGCACUAGGUGUGGGAGGUAUCGACCCCUUCCGUGCCGCAGCUAACGCAUUAAGUGCCCCGCCUGGGGAGUACGGCCGCAAGGUUGAAACUCAAA
rnacentral:rRNA from 1 species